GCGAUAAGCGCCGGUAAGGUGAUAUGAACCGUUAUAACCGGCGAUACCCGAAUGGGGAAACCCAGUGUGAUUCGUCACACUAUCAUUAACUGAAUCCAUAGGUUAAUGAGGCGAACCGGGGGAACUGAAACAUCUAAGUACCCCGAGGAAAAGAAAUCAACCGAGAUUCCCCCAGUAGCGGCGAGCGAACGGGGAGGAGCCCAGAGCCUGAAUCAGCAUGUGUGUUAGUGGAAGCGUCUGGAAAGGCGCGCGAUACAGGGUGACAGCCCCGUACACAAAAGCGCAUGUGCUGUGAGCUCGAUGAGUAGGGCGGGACACGUGGUAUCCUGUCUGAAUAUGGGGGGACCAUCCUCCAAGGCUAAAUACUCCUGACUGACCGAUAGUGAACCAGUACCGUGAGGGAAAGGCGAAAAGAACCCCGGCGAGGGGAGUGAAAAAGAACCUGAAACCGUGUACGUACAAGCAGUGGGAGCACAGGUUUACCUGUGUGACUGCGUACCUUUUGUAUAAUGGGUCAGCGACUUAUAUUCUGUAGCAAGGUUAACCGAAUAGGGGAGCCGGAGGGAAACCGAGUCUUAAUUGGGCGUUAAGUUGCAGGGUAUAGACCCGAAACCCGGUGAUCUAGCCAUGGGCAGGUUGAAGGUUGGGUAACACUAACUGGAGGACCGAACCGACUAAUGUUGAAAAAUUAGCGGAUGACCUGUGGCUGGGGGUGAAAGGCCAAUCAAACCGGGAGAUAGCUGGUUCUCCCCGAAAGCUAUUUAGGUAGCGCCUCGUGAAUUCAUCUCCGGGGGUAGAGCACUGUUUCGGCUAGGGGGCCAUCCCGGCUUACCAACCCGAUGCAAACUGCGAAUACCGGAGAAUGUUAUCACGGGAGACACACGGCGGGUGCUAACGUCCGUCGUGAAGAGGGAAACAACCCAGACCGCCAGCUAAGGUCCCAAAGUCAUGGUUAAGUGGGAAACGAUGUGGGAAGGCCCAGACAGCCAGGAUGUUGGCUUAGAAGCAGCCAUCAUUUAAAGAAAGCGUAAUAGCUCACUGGUCGAGUCGGCCUGCGCGGAAGAUGUAACGGGGCUAAACCAU
rnacentral:rRNA from 1 species